AGUGAGGCAGAGGAAAUCUCCGAGGUGGAAAGUGGAAGUGAAGUCGCUCAGUCGUGUCCGACUCCUUUCGACCCCAUGGGCCUACCACGCUCCUCCGUCCAUGGGAUUUUCCAGGGGUGAGCAAACUCCAGGCCACGGGAGCGAAACGUACAACUUGAUUUGUCAUCAGGAUGAUACUGUCAUGCCUCUGCUGUUGUCCAGAAGGGCAAGUUGAACUAACAGACGUCCCCCCCACCCCCCCCACCAACUAUGGGACCAUCUGGUUGAAGAAUCAUAAUCGGAGAUACUUUGGCUCCUGAAACAACAAUUAACGAAUGUCGCAAGACAAUGAUUAAUCCCAGCCUCUUCAUUCUUCCUCUUUAAAAACCCUAACUCAGAGACUAAGGUGAAGAAGAUCUGAGGCUUGUCUCCCACUCCCUUGCUUAGAACCUGCAAUAAACUGCAAUAAACUUAGAACCUGCUUAGAACCUGCUGUAUUUUCCUUCACCAAGUGAACAACAAAAAAAAUUCUUGCCCACCAUCAAGCCAUCAGCCACUGCAGCUGCCCUCCAUGUGCACCCUGAGGGGCAUUCAGGAUGGAGAGAAACAAGAUACUGGCCCUAGAUAAUUAAGAUGCAUAUCAAAGCAAAAACUCCUAUGUAUCCUGGCUCCUAAUGGCAGAAAGUGAAGAGAAACUAAAGAGCCUCUUGAUGAGGGUGAAAGAGGAGAGUGAAAAAGCUGGCUUUAAAACUCAACAUUUAGAAAACUAAGAUCAUGGCAUCUGGUCCCAUCAUUUCAUGACAAACAGAUGGGGAAAGAAUGGAAACCGUGGCAGAUUUUAUUUUCUUGGGCUCCCAAAUCACUGC
ensembl:lncRNA